rfam:Roseobacter sp. CCS2 1101676645860, whole genome shotgun sequence.
GUUUCGGGAGAGGUGUUUGGGAUACACCUCAGGUAUUGAAAUGACCCUACCGUAAAUCGGACGCGUUUUGGUAUCCCAGCCAAAGCGCG